GCUUUCCUGUUUUUGCUGUGAUGAGGUUGGUAGCUGGCAUGAUUGUCCUACUCAUUCUGCUACUGAUUCUGUGGCACUACUGUAACACCAAAGAUUUGUUCUUUGUCAGGUCCAAGGAAACCAAACGGACACGUGCUGAAGAUCAUGUGAC